rnacentral:rRNA from 1 species
UACGAAGGGGGCUAGCGUUGCUCGGAAUUACUGGGCGUAAAGGGCGCGUAGGCGGGUCGCUAAGUUGGGGGUGAAAGCCCAGGGCUCAACCCUGGAAUUGCCUUCAAUACUGGCGACCUUGAGUAUGAGAGAGGUGUGUGGAACUCCGAGUGUAGAGGUGAAAAUUCGUAGAUAUUCGGAAGAAACACCAGUGGCGAAGGCGACACACUGGCUCAUUACUGACGCUGAGGCGCGAAAGCGUGGGGAGCAAACAGG